rnacentral:rRNA from 1 species
CCCCUAUUGUUAGUUGCCAUCAUUCAGUUGGGCACUCUAGCGAGACUGCCGGUAAUAAACCGGAGGAAGUGGGGAUGACGUCAAAUCAUCAUGCCCCUUAUGACCUGGGCUACACACGUGCUACAAUGGUUGGUACAACGAGUUGCGAGUCGGUGACGGCGAGCUAAUCUCUUAAAGCCAAUCUCAGCUCGGAUUGUAGGCUGCAACUCGCCUACAUGAAGUCGGAAUCGCUAGUAAUCGCGGAUCAGCACGCCGCGGUGAAUACGUUCCCGGGCCUU